rnacentral:rRNA from 1 species
GUGAGGAAUUUUGCGCAAUGGGGGAAACCCUGACGCAGCAACGCCGCGUGAGUGAAGAAGGCCUUCGGGUCGUAAAGCUCUGUCUAGUGGGACAAAAGCCUCAUGGUAAAUAGCCAUGAGGGUUGAUGGUACCACUGAAGGAAGCACCGGCUAACUCCGUGCCAGCAGCCGCGGUAAUACGGAGGGUGCAAGCGUUGUUCGGAAUUAUUGGGCGUAAAGGGCGUGUAGGCGGUUAAGUAAGUCAGAUGUGAAAUCCCUGGGCUUAACUCGGGAAGUGCAUUUGAAACUACUUUACUUGAGUAUGGGAGAGGAGAGUGGAAUUCCCAGUGUAGAGGUGAAAUUCGUAGAUAUUGGGAGGAACACCCGUGGCGAAGGCGACUCUCUGGACCAAUACUGACGCUGAUACGCGAAAGUGUGGGGAGCAAACAGGAUUAGAUACCCCUGUAGUCC